rnacentral:rRNA from 1 species
CAGUCGCCGCGGUAAUACGUAGGGUGCAAGCGUUAAUCGGAAUUACUGGGCGUAAAGCGUGCGCAGGCGGUUUGUUAAGACAGAUGUGAAAUCCUCGGGCUCAACCUGGGAACUGCAUUUGUGACUGGCAAGCUAGAGUCUGGCAGAGGGGGGUGGAAUUCCGCGUGUAGCAGUGAAAUGCGUAGAUAUGCGGAGGAACACCGAUGGCGAAGGCAGCCCCCUGGGCCAACACUGACGCUCAUGCACGAAAGUGUGGGGAGCAAACAGGAUUAGAUACCCCCGUAGUCCCUGUCUCUUAUAC